rnacentral:lncRNA from 1 species
CUAGGGUUAGGUUGUUGAUUUCAAAUUUUGAUGAAAUGCAAUGUUGUUAUGUGUUAGAUGAUGCGUAAUUCAUAUGCAAUGAUAUUGACGUGUAGAACUUGUUGAAUGUUUCGAUUUAGGUAUAUAUUCAUCCAAUUGUGUAGUGUACAUGACAUGGGUAAUUUUUUUUUGCAAUAUGUCCAAUUAAUAUGUCCAAUAUGUUUAGUUUGUAAUAUAGUUGCUAUAGUAUAUAUGGUGAAGUGUUUGUAUUUUGUAGAUGAAUUAUUUAAUUUGUAUAUUUGAUGGUGGGAUUGUGAAAGUUGGUAUGAAAUUGUGUAGUGUACAUGAUAUGGGUACGUUUUUUUUUUGCAAUAUGUCCAAUUAAUUUGUCCAAUAUGUUUAUUUCGUAAUAUAGUUGCUAUAGUUUAUAUGACAAAGUGUUUGUAUUUUGUAGAUGGAGUGUUUGUAUUUGUCAAAUUGAUGCAUGUAGUUCAUAUGGUAAAGUAGAUGGAUUACGUGUCUAAAAUUUAUUUGUGUAUUAAUUUACGGGCACUUGAUGUGUAGGUGAUAUGAUGUCGUCUGGUUGUGAAUACAAGCGGCGUAGGUGGUACAUGCGUUACGUGGGCGAGUCCAAUGCGGGUGCUCCCGUAUCUCCUGCCCUUCCGGUACCUCUUUGUA